GGUGGCUCAGUGGCAGAGUGCUUGCCUAGCAUGCAUGAAGUCCUGGGUUCGAUUCCUCAGCACCA
rnacentral:tRNA from 1 species